CAUCUGUACAAAGUCCCAACCCAGAGGACUAUAACUUGUGGGUGGCAAUUGGGGACAAUGCACCAAGGGACCUGCACCCUGCCAGCAUUCAAACUCCACCUCAAGAAGACACAGUGCCUCUCACAACACCCCUCUGUGGAAACCCCCCUGGCGCCAGUGCGAGCCCAGGUACUGGUCGCAGUGCGGAGAUCGACACGUCAGACUGCUGGCCAACAUUCUAAUCCCCAUCAUCUGCCAGUGACAGUCCUGCUCUCCAGCUAUUUAGCCAGUGCCUCAAGUUGGGUUUGACUCUAGUGACCUGUAAUGAGGAGUGGCUGAGCCAGUGGUCGCUAGUCCUGCACAGGCCUCUGAUGUUGGGGUCUCGCCUUCUUCCCUGUCUCUCUCCCCCUGUUGGACCGUGUCCACAGCUGGCCCUACUAUAGCUCUGGAUCUUCUGGUCUUAUAUUAUAGAGUUUAAUAAAUUAAGAUAUUUGUUAUUGUUUUUAGCGCUUGGUAAAUAAUAAACUUUGUUAACCUCGGGGAAACUACUUGUCUCUGUCCAUCAUUGACCAUCACUCUGUCAUUUUGGGUAUUCAAAAAGGGUUUAUUACCAAAAAAUA